rnacentral:rRNA from 1 species
GUGGGGAAUAUUGCGCAAUGGGCGGAAGCCUGACGCAGCGACGCCGCGUGGGGGAUGACGGCCUUCGGGUUGUAAACCUCUUUCAGCAGGGACGAAGUUGACGUGUACCUGCAGAAGAAGCGCCGGCUAACUACGUGCCAGCAGCCGCGGUAAUACGUAGGGCGCAAGCGUUGUCCGGAAUUAUUGGGCGUAAAGAGCUCGUAGGUGGCUGGUCGCGUCUGCCGUGAAAGCCCGCAGCUUAACUGCGGGUCUGCGGUGGAUACGGGCCGGCUAGAGGUAGGUAGGGGCAAGUGGAAUUCCUGGUGUAGCGGUGAAAUGCGCAGAUAUCAGGAGGAACACCGGUGGCGAAGGCGGCUUGCUGGGCCUUACCUGACGCUGAGGAGCGAAAGCGUGGGGAGCGAACAGGAUUAGAAACCCCAGUAGUCC